GCGCGCGCGUAGGCGGAGCAGCGCGCGACCCGGUCAGCUGACUGCUUGGGUUGGCACGUGACUUGCUCCGUCCGCCCUGGGGUCGAGGAAGCCGUGAAGCCGGAGCUUAGGUCGCGGAGGCAUGGAGCGCUGAGCCGUUAACGUCUGCCAGGCUGUCCGCCUCCGUACCUAUUACUGCUGUCAUUUCCUCGUUUGACACCUUCCAGGUGUCUCUCUUGAUUUGGGAAGAAAUACCUAGUAACAAACAUGACUGAGUUCUGGCUUAUAUCAGCUCCUGGAGAGAAAACAUGUCAGCAAACAUGGGAGAAAUUGCAUGCGGCAACUACAAAGAACAAUAAUCUUGCUAUUACUUCAAAGUUCAACAUUCCUGACUUAAAGGUUGGCACACUAGAUGUCUUGGUUGGUUUGUCGGACGAACUGGCUAAACUGGAUGCAUUUGUAGAAGGGGUCGUUAAGAAGGUGGCUCAAUAUAUGGCUGAUGUAUUGGAGGAUAGUAAAGAUAAAGUUCAGGAGAAUCUGUUGGCCAGUGGAGUUGACUUGGUUACUUAUAUAACACGAUUUCAGUGGGACAUGGCUAAAUAUCCAAUCAAGCAGUCCCUGAAAAAUAUUUCUGAAAUAAUUGCCAAGGGAGUGACUCAGAUUGACAAUGACCUGAAAUCUCGAGCAUCCGCAUAUAAUAACCUGAAAGGGAAUCUUCAGAACUUGGAACGAAAGAAUGCAGGAAGUUUGCUAACUCGAAGUCUAGCAGAAAUCGUGAAGAAGGAUGACUUUGUUCUCGAUUCAGAGUAUCUCGUCACAUUACUGGUCGUAGUUCCCAAGUUAAACCACAACGACUGGAUUAAGCAGUAUGAAACACUAGCUGAAAUGGUAGUUCCAAGGUCUAGCAAUGUUCUCUCAGAAGACCAAGAUAGUUACCUUUGUAAUGUCACCUUGUUUAGGAAGGCAGUUGAUGACUUCAGACACAAAGCCAGGGAAAACAAAUUUAUCGUUCGUGACUUCCAGUAUAAUGAAGAGGAGAUGAAAGCAGAUAAAGAAGAAAUGAACAGGCUUUCUACUGACAAGAAAAAGCAAUUUGGACCACUUGUGCGGUGGCUGAAAGUGAAUUUCAGCGAAGCAUUUAUUGCAUGGAUUCAUGUGAAAGCAUUAAGGGUUUUUGUUGAGUCUGUUUUAAGGUAUGGCUUACCAGUGAACUUCCAAGCAAUGCUACUUCAGCCCAAUAAGAAAACAAUGAAGAAACUGAGAGAAGUAUUAUAUGAAUUGUAUAAACAUCUAGACAGCAGUGCAGCUGCUAUUAUUGAUGCACCUAUGGAUAUUCCAGGCUUAAACCUGAGUCAACAGGAAUACUACCCGUAUGUGUACUACAAGAUUGAUUGCAACUUGCUGGAAUUCAAGUAAAAAUGAGCUCCUCCCAGACAAUCCUGUCCUUGUGUUGGUAUAUGCUAACAAAUAGGCUACAGUAUGACAGUACUUUUAAUUCUCUAUUAUCCUUUGCUUGCUUCUGACCCCUUUUCCUAGGUGAAUUCUCCCAUUGUGGUCCAUUUCUAAACUUUUUGUUUUUAAAGGAAAAUCUGUGUCUUAUUUCUUUUUAUUGAUCAGGUCUGUAAAUGUGUACUAAAAAAAUCAGAGUCUAUUUAUAAACAAUAGUUUAUUUAAAGAGGUCUUUCCUCAUCGAUAUUGUGGUAUGCAUAAUUCUUUUUGUUACUAUUGUGCACAAAAGCCUUGUUUACAAGGGAAUGGUGUAAACAUUUAUACCAUUUUGGUCACUGUAUUUAGUAGACAUAACUGUUUAAUAGUUACUGAAUCGUGAUGUAAAGAAAUGUGACAAUAUUCAGGUAUGUCUUUUCUGAAUGUUUCAAAUUACAAUCUAUGAGCACUGUUGACACCCACAGGAGAGAAUAAAAUUACCUGUGCAAAGACGA